UAUUACGUGGUUUCAGAAAUAAAAACUUACGUAUAAAAAGACGAAAUUUAAAAUAUUAAUUAUUGCGGAAGUGCUAACUAAUCGCAUCAUAUUCAAUCAUAUACAUUAUGCAGUUUUUAAUCUUUUUCUACUUUUGUGCUAUGUUUGCACUCGUCGUGUCUGGGAUUCCACUUGUUGGCCAAAAUCCAUGUACUUGGGGACCUACGUAUUGGUGUCAAAAUCCGGACACCAUAGCUGAAUGCCAGGCUGAAAUAUAUUGUUCAACCCAUUAGGAAUAUACAUACUCAUGUAUAUAUAUAUAUAUAUAUAUAUAUAUAUAUAUAUU